GACGAACGCUGGCGGCAUGCCUAACACAUGCAAGUCGAACGAAAAGUCCGGGACUUUUGGCGCACGGGGGCGUAAGGCGAGGGAAGCUUCACUUAGGUUCGGCAUAACUACCCGAAAGGGGUGCUAAUACCGGAUAGUGUCUUCGGACCAAAGAUAUAUCGCGCUUGGAUGGGCCCGCGUGGGAUUAGCUAGUUGGUAGGGUAAUAGCCUACCAAGGCGAGGAUCCAUAGCUGGGCUGUGAGGAGGGUCAGCCACACUAGGACGAAGACACGGCCGAGAAUCCUACGCGAGGGGGGAGUGGGGGAUAGAGGAAAAUGGGCGAAGGGCUGAUCCAGCAAUGCCGGGUAAGUGAUGAAGGCCGUAGGGAUGUAAAGCGCAUUUAACCGGGAUGAUAAUGACGGUACCGGGUGAAUAAGCACCGGCUAACUACGUG
rnacentral:rRNA from 1 species